CCUACGGGAGGCAGCAGUGGGGGAUAUUGGACAAUGGGGGAAACCCUGAUCCAGCGACGCCGCGUGAGUGAAGAAGUAUUUCGGUAUGUAAAGCCCUAUCAGCAGGGAAGAAAGAAAUGACGGUACCUGAGUAAGAAGCCCCGGCUAACUACGUGCCAGCAGCCGCGGGAAUACGGAGGGGGGAAGCGUUAUCCGGAAUUAAUGGGUGUAAAGGGAGCGUAGGGGGUAAUGCAAGUCUGGAGGGAAAGGCGGGGGCCCAACCCCCGGACUGCUCUGGAAACUGGGUAACUGGAGUGCAGGAGAGGCAGGCGGAAUGCCUAGUGUAGCGGUGAAAUGCGUAGAUAUUAGGAAGAACACCGGUGGCGAAGGCGGCCUGCUGGACUGUAACUGACGUUGAGGCUCGAAAGCGUGGGGAGCAAACAGGAUUAGAUACCCCGGUAGUC
rnacentral:rRNA from 1 species